ensembl:lncRNA
ACUGUGUAACACACACGAUCGCCAGCUUCCCCAGGCAGGAAAAACCGGUCACAUGACGCUCAAGCUUUCUGAUUGGCUCAAAAAACACCUGCCAGACUCCUGAGGCGGUUUCAUCUGUCACACCUGAAGCAGGAGGUGAAGCGGCUCGGGGACUUUCCUCACUGCAGAAACAGCAGAUUAAAUCCAUAAUUCCCGUGAGAAGCGGCAGAGGUAAGACGUCGUCUCCAGUGGCCAGUAUGACAAAUUGCGAAGUGAGAUAUGAAGGUUGAGAUGAAGUAACAGACAGUUCCUUUGUUCCAGCGUUUGUGUGAGAGCAAGUUGACUCGCCCUCCUUUCUUUAGACUCCGCUGCAAUGGAAACGUUGGGUCAUUCUGCUUUUCACACGUCAAGCUUCAAUAUAGACAAUCUUAUGCUAAAAGUGAUCAUUAUGUUCUAACAUAUUUGACCAUGACACAUGUCAUGUGAUACUGGACUGUUUUACUGACUUCUGGACUCUGAAGGAGAUGAAGAGGAGAAACAGCACAGCUCCAUCUGCUGGAAGAUGAGCGCUAAUGUUCAUCUUUUAAAUCAUUACAUGUCAUUUAGCUGACGCUUUUAUCCAAAGCCACUUACAAUAAGAGCGUUUCAACCAUAAGGACACAAACCCAGAAGAACAAGAAACAACAAAGUGCACUUUCAUCAAAUAAGCCGCUUUACAACUUGCUGUAGAUAAGAACCAUUAUAAGUCCAAUGUAAGUGCUCC